rnacentral:rRNA from 1 species
AUGCACGCUGGCGGCGUGCCUCAUACCUGCAAGUCGAGCGCACAGACGAGGAGCUUGCUCCUCUGACGUUAGCGGCGGACGGGUGAGUAACACGUGGAUAACCUACCUAUAAGACUGGGAUAACUUCGGGAAACCGGAGCUAAUACCGGAUAAUAUAUUGAACCGCAUGGUUCAAUAGUGAAAGACGGUUUUGCUGUCACUUAUAGAUGGAUCCGCGCCGCAUUAGCUAGUUGGUAAGGUAACGGCUUACCAAGGCGACGAUGCGUAGCCGACCUGAGAGGGUGAUCGGCCACACUGGAACUGAGACACGGUCCAGACUCCUACGGGAGGCAGCAGUAGGGAAUCUUCCGCAAUGGGCGAAAGCCUGACGGAGCAACGCCGCGUGAGUGAUGAAGGUCUUCGGAUCGUAAAACUCUGUUAUUAGGGAAGAACAAAUGUGUAAGUAACUAUGCACGUCUUGACGGUACCUAAUCAGAAAGCCACGGCUAACUACGUG